GUCAAAAGCAGUUGUGAAGUCAUAGUACUUCUACCCUUCCGAUAGAAUUUUAGUAAUACACAAUGUCUAAUCGACUGUCAGAAACAGUCUGUUAUAUUUUCACAAAAUUGGGCCCCAUAUUUACCAUGAAUUCUAAAAUGCCCAAGGCACGGCUGUUCAAAGAGGUACACAGGGGAUCAGCAGGAUGGAUGGAUGGAUGGAUUGUGGCCAGAGCAGCACAUUUCAGGUAAACAGAGAUGGGUAGGUAUUAGGAUGAUUAGUAGGGAAUGUCCUUUCUCUUGCAGAUGGAGGAUAUUGAGGAGAUUGCUGGACAAAACUUGGAGAGAAUUGUUGGAAACUGCUAGAAGACAUCACUUUGAAGAUGGCAGGAGAGAAACUGUGAUGCACACAGGAACCACCAUUCAGAAUUAGACAGCCUUUGGAAAGUGCUUUGGAGAGCGGAGCGGCAAUUGCGCUGAGCGUAGGCACACAGGCUUACGCUGGAAACUCAUCAGUGGACUUCCCUCCCUCAUCAAUAUA
ensembl:lncRNA